CAGUCGCCACGGGAAUACGGAGGGUGCAAGCGUUAUCCGGAUUUAUUGGGUUUAAAGGGUCCGUAGGCGGACUUAUAAGUCAGUGGUGAAAGCCUGUCGCUUAACGAUAGAACUGCCAUUGAUACUGUAAGUCUUGAGUAUAUUUGAGGUAGCUGGAAUAAGUAGUGUAGCGGUGAAAUGCAUAGAUAUUACUUAGAACACCAAUUGCGAAGGCAGGUUACCAAGAUAUAACUGACGCUGAGGGACGAAAGCGUGGGUAGCGAACAGGAUUAGAUACCCGCGUAGUCCCUGUCUCUUAUAC
rnacentral:rRNA from 1 species